UGGCGCACAAGAACUUCCUAUGGCGUAUAUCGUAUUUUGGCAUCGCACAGUGUCGUGAUUUUAUGUCAAUAUUGGCCAAAAAAUAAGUCAAGCGAAUUCUGCUGCAGGUUGAUAUUUUGCCUCAAAUUGGAAACAAAAAUGAAGAACGUUUGUCGUUACUGCACUAGGUCCACGGUUUGACAUAGCACCCAUAUAAAGAACUAAUUAUAAGAUGUACAAUACAUAAAGCAUUAUUUCAUGUCAAUGUGUAAAUACAUAAAUCAGAGAUGAAAACCUGA